rnacentral:lncRNA from 1 species
GAUACAAAACGGUAAUUAAAAUCGUAACGAGGAGAGGAGAUCGAGUAGAGCAGCAUGAUCGACGAUCCUCUUCUAGAACCAAAACUGUGUUUCUUGAAUUAUAAAUAUUCCACCUCAAUUCGCCUCCCCGUUUCCGAGACCAAAUUAACGCAUCUCUACAGGAAAUAACGAUGUGAGAUGGUCAAAGCAAAACAAACUUAACUCAUCAGUUAUUGUCGCGCGAGAGCGCGCUCGCGGGCAUGGGCAUGCGAACGUUAGCAGCGGCGACAAACGAUGCGAGGGCCCAAAACGCCCGGCUCUCUGUUGUCGUCCGUGGAGAAGGAGAUCGAUCAGAUCAUGUUGGAGAGCGAGCGGCAGUUCUCGGACAUCUCGACGAGCGACGCGUCGAACUGCUCCAUGGGGUUCUUCUCGCCGAUCUGCCUGAACUGCUCGUCGCAGUUCUGCAUGUCCUGCGCCGCCAUGCCCAUGGUGGCGCGGAUGGUGACGGCGUCCUUGAAGCCGAUGGCGCGGCGGCAGGCUCCCAGGUUGUCCUCCACGUCCAGGUACAGGUUGUUGCACAGGUCCAGCACCGUCCGCGCCUUGGGGGACGCCGUCACGGCGGCCUCCUUGACGU